rnacentral:rRNA from 1 species
UUAAGCGACUAAGCGUACACGGUGGAUGCCCUGGCAGUCAGAGGCGAUGAAGGACGUGCUAAUCUGCGAAAAGCGUCGGUAAGGUGAUAUGAACCGUUACAGCCGGCGAUGUCCGAAUGGGGAAACCCAGUGCAAUUCGUUGCACUAUCGUUAACUGAAUACAUAGGUUAACGAGGCGAACCGGGGGAACUGAAACAUCUAAGUACCCCGAGGAAAAGAAAUCAACCGAGAUUCCCCCAGUAGCGGCGAGCGAACGGGGAGCAGCCCAGAGUCUGAAUCAGCUUGUGUGUUAGUGGAACGGUCUGGAAAGUCCGACGGUACAGGGUGAUAGUCCCGUACACCAAAAUGCACAGGUUGUGAACUCGAAGAGUAGGGCGGGACACGUGGUAUCCUGUCUGAAUAUGGGGGGACCAUCCUCCAAGGCUAAAUACUCCUGACUGACCGAUAGUGAACCAGUACCGUGAGGGAAAGGCGAAAAGAACCCCGGCGAGGGGAGUGAAAAAGAACCUGAAACCGUGUACGUACAAGCAGUGGGAGCACCUUCGGGUGUGACUGCGUACCUUUUGUAUAAUGGGUCAGCGACUUAUAUUCUGUAGCAAGGUUAACCGUAUAGGGGAGCCGCAGGGAAACCGAGUCUUAACUGGGCGUUAAGUUGCAGGGUAUAGACCCGAAACCCGGUGAUCUAGCCAUGGGCAGGUUGAAGGUUGGGUAACACUAACUGGAGGACCGAACCGACUAAUGUUGAAAAAUUAGCGGAUGACUUGUGGCUGGGGGUGAAAGGCCAAUCAAACCGGGAGAUAGCUGGUUCUCCCCGAAAGCUAUUUAGGUAGCGCCUCGUGAAUUCAUCUUCGGGGGUAGAGCACUGUUUCGGCUAGGGGGUCAUCCCGACUUACCAACCCGAUGCAAACUACGAAUACCGAAGAAUGUUAUCACGGGAGACACACGGCGGGUGCUAACGUCCGUCGUGAAGAGGGAAACAACCCAGACCGCCAGCUAAGGUCCCAAAGUCAUGGUUAAGUGGGAAACGAUGUGGGAAGGCACAGACAGCCAGGAUGUUGGCUUAGAAGCAGCCAUCAUUUAAAGAAAGCGUAAUAGCUCACUGGUCGAGUCGGCCUGCGCGGAAGAUGUAACGGGGCUAAACCAUGCACCGAAGCUGCGGCAGCGACACUAUGUGUUGUUGGGUAGGGGAGCGUUCUGUAAGCCUGCGAAGGUGACCUGUGAGGGUUGCUGGAGGUAUCAGAAGUGCGAAUGCUGACAUAAGUAACGAUAAAGCGGGUGAAAAGCCCGCUCGCCGGAAGACCAAGGGUUCCUGUCCAACGUUAAUCGGGGCAGGGUGAGUCGACCCCUAAGGCGAGGCCGAAAGGCGUAGUCGAUGGGAAACAGGUUAAUAUUCCUGUACUUGGUGUUACUGCGAAGGGGGGACGGAGAAGGCUAUGUUAGCCGGGCGACGGUUGUCCCGGUUUAAGCAUGUAGGCUGGUUGUCCAGGCAAAUCCGGAUAAUCAAGGCUGAGGUGUGAUGACGAGGCACUACGGUGCUGAAGUAACAAAUGCCCUGCUUCCAGGAAAAGCCUCUAAGCAUCAGGUAACAUCAAAUCGUACCCCAAACCGACACAGGUGGUCAGGUAGAGAAUACCAAGGCGCUUGAGAGAACUCGGGUGAAGGAACUAGGCAAAAUGGUGCCGUAACUUCGGGAGAAGGCACGCUGGUGUGUAGGUGAAGUCCCUGCGGAUGGAGCUGAGACCAGUCGAAGAUACCAGCUGGCUGCAACUGUUUAUUAAAAACACAGCACUGUGCAAACACGAAAGUGGACGUAUACGGUGUGACGCCUGCCCGGUGCCGGAAGGUUAAUUGAUGGGGUUAUCCGUAAGGAGAAGCUCUUGAUCGAAGCCCCGGUAAACGGCGGCCGUAACUAUAACGGUCCUAAGGUAGCGAAAUUCCUUGUCGGGUAAGUUCCGACCUGCACGAAUGGCGUAAUGAUGGCCAGGCUGUCUCCACCCGAGACUCAGUGAAAUUGAACUCGCUGUGAAGAUGCAGUGUACCCGCGGCAAGACGGAAAGACCCCGUGAACCUUUACUAUAGCUUGACACUGAACAUUGAGCCUUGAUGUGUAGGAUAGGUGGGAGGCUUUGAAGCGUGGACGCCAGUCUGCGUGGAGCCAACCUUGAAAUACCACCCUUUAAUGUUUGAUGUUCUAACGUUGGCCCCUGACCGGGGUUGCGGACAGUGUCUGGUGGGUAGUUUGACUGGGGCGGUCUCCUCCCAAAGCGUAACGGAGGAGCACGAAGGUUAGCUAAUCCUGGUCGGACAUCAGGAGGUUAGUGCAAUGGCAUAAGCUAGCUUGACUGCGAGCGUGACGGCGCGAGCAGGUGCGAAAGCAGGUCAUAGUGAUCCGGUGGUUCUGAAUGGAAGGGCCAUCGCUCAACGGAUAAAAGGUACUCCGGGGAUAACAGGCUGAUACCGCCCAAGAGUUCAUAUCGACGGCGGUGUUUGGCACCUCGAUGUCGGCUCAUCACAUCCUGGGGCUGAAGUAGGUCCCAAGGGUAUGGCUGUUCGCCAUUUAAAGUGGUACGCGAGCUGGGUUUAGAACGUCGUGAGACAGUUCGGUCCCUAUCUGCCGUGGGCGCUGGAGAAUUGAGGGGGGCUGCUCCUAGUACGAGAGGACCGGAGUGGACGCAUCACUGGUGUUCGGGUUGUCAUGCCAAUGGCACUGCCCGGUAGCUAAAUGCGGAAGAGAUAAGUGCUGAAAGCAUCUAAGCACGAAACUUGCCCCGAGAUGAGUUCUCCCUGAGACUUUAAGUCUCCUGAAGGAACGUUGAAGACGACGACGUUGAUAGGCCGGGUGUGUAAGCGCAGCGAUGCGUUGAGCUAACCGGUACUAAUGAACCGUGAGGCUUAACCUU